rnacentral:misc_RNA from 1 species
GAUGAAGAACGUAGCGAAAUGCGAUAAGUAAUGCGAAUUGCAGAAUCCGUGAGUCAUCGAAUCUUUGAACGCACAUUGCGCCCUCUGGUAUUCCGGAGGGCAUGCCUGUUCGAGCGUCAUUAUCACCCCUCAAGCCCGGCUUGUUGUUGGAUGCAGCGCUUAACCCGCUCCUCCCAAAGAUAAUGACGGCGUCUGCGACGACUCCUGUACACUGAGCUUUCGGGCACGUACACGGCUAGAAGUCCAGACCCGGUCGCCGUCCCCCCCGCGGGGACACCCAUUACCACAAGGUUGACCUCGGAUCAGGUAGGAAUACCCGCUGAACUUAAGCAUAUCAAUAAGCGGAGGA